UGCAGUCGAGCGAGCACUUACUUUAGAUUUCUUCGGAAUGAUGAGGUUUGUGACUGAGCGGCGGACGGGUGAGUAACGCGUGGGCAACCUGCCCUGUACAGGGGGAUAACAGUUAGAAAUGACUGCUAAUACCGCAUAAGCCCACAGCUUCGCAUGAAGCAGUGGGAAAAACUCCGGUGGUACAGGAUGGGCCCGCGUCUGAUUAGCUAGUUGGUAAGGUAACGGCUUACCAAGGCGACGAUCAGUAGCCGACCUGAGAGGGUGACCGGCCACAUUGGGACUGAGACACGGCCCAAACUCCUACGGGAGGCAGCAGUGGGGAAUAUUGCACAAUGGGGGAAACCCUGAUGCAGCGACGCCGCGUGAGCGAUGAAGUAUUUCGGUAUGUAAAGCUCUAUCAGCAGGGAAGAAAGUGACGGUACCUGACUAAGAAGCCCCGGCUAACUACGUGCCAGCAGCCGCGGUAAUACGUAGGGGGCAAGCGUUAUCCGGAUUUACUGGGUGUAAAGGGAGCGUAGACGGAAGUGCAAGUCUGAAGUGAAAGCCCGGGGCUCAACCCCGGGACUGCUUUGGAAACUGUAUUUCUAGAGUGCUGGAGAGGUAAGUGGAAUUCCUAGUGUAGCGGUGAAAUGCGUAGAUAUUAGGAGGAACACCAGUGGCGAA
rnacentral:rRNA from 1 species